UACGUAAGGGGCAAGCGUUGUCCGGAAUCACUGGGCGUAAAGCGCACGUAGGCGGUUGGACAAGUCGUGUGUUAAAGCCCCUGGCUCAACUGGGGGAGGUCAUGCGAGACUGUGCGACUUGAGGGCAAGAGAGGCACGUGGAACUCCCGGUGUAGCGGUGGAAUGCGUAGAGAUCGGGAAGAACACCAGUGGCGAAGGCGACGUGCUGGGUUGCACCUGACGCUGAGAUGCGAAAGUGUGGGGAGCAAACGGG
rnacentral:rRNA from 1 species